AUUGAACGCUGGCGGCAGGCCUAACACAUGCAAGUCGAGCGAGCGGCGGACGGGGGCGGAAGGUCUGGGAAACUGCCUGAUGGAGAGGGAUAACUACUGGAAACGGAAGCUAAUACCGCAUCCCAUCAGAUGUGCCCAGAUGGGAUUAGCUAGACGGUGGGGUAAUGGCUCACGUAGGCGACGAUCCCUAGCUGGUCUGAGAGGAGAACAAGCCACACUGGAACGGAGAAACGGUCCAGACUCCUACGGGAGGCAGCAGUGGGGAAUAUUGAACAAUGGGCGCAAGCAUGAUGCAGCCAUGCCGCGUGUGUGAAGAAGGCCUUCGGGUUGUAAAGCACUUUCAGCGGGGAGGCGUUACCCGCAGAAGAAGCACCGGCUAACUCCGUGCCAGCAGCCGCGGUAAUUC
rnacentral:rRNA from 1 species